rnacentral:rRNA from 1 species
UACGUAGGGAGCAAGCGUUGUCCGGAAUCAUUGGGCGUAAAGCGCACGUAGGCGGACAUUUAAGUCAGGGGUGAAAUCCCGGGGCUCAACCCCGGAACGGCCUUUGAUACUGGGUGUCUGGAGGAUGAGAGAGGCGAGUGGAAUUCCGAGUGUAGAGGUGAAAUUCGUAGAUAUUCGGAGGAACACCAGUGGCGAAGGCGGCUCGCUGGCUCAUUUCUGACGCUGAGGUGCGAAAGCGUGGGGAGCAAACAGGG